rnacentral:rRNA from 1 species
UGGGCCUAAAGCGUCCGUAGCUGGCCCUGCAAGUCCGUCGGGAAAUCCACUCGCCUAACGAGUGGGCGUCCGGCGGAAACUACAGGGCUUGGGACCGGAAGACUUGAGGGGUACGUAUGGGGUAGGAGUGAAAUCCUGUAAUCCUGGACGGACCGCCGAUAGCGAAAGCACCUCAAGACGACGGAUCCGACAGUGAGGGACGAAAGCUAGGGUCUCGAAC